UAGAAGAUCUGCAGACUGUCCUCGCCCGCCUUUGCCUUUUCCUAUGUGCUUUUCACAGGAGGGAUGGAUCAGUUUUGCUUGACGCGGCUUUGAAGUCUGCUGCCUUUGAAUCAGCCCAUGUGAGACUCAAGUGGCAGCAGCAGCAGGGAGACUGCUCGGCUUCAAGAGCGGCUGGAGUUGUUCUGUGACCUGACAAAGAAGCUGGUGCAGCAGGGCUCAGAAGGUGCCUGGAGGAGGUAGCGUGACUUGUGUGCCAGGGUGAGGAGAGAGAUGACCUGCAGCAAGCUCUUUCCAUUGCCGGGGGCAUGGUGUCUUGUCCGCCCGUGAUUUUUUCUGGCUGCCAGGAUGGUGAGAGGAGAAAGCUGGGCUGCUGUGGGAUGGAGGAAGGGUGAUGGAGAAGAAACUUGCUUGUUUUACGUGACCUGAUCCCCUGCCUCUCACUGGAGCCUGUUCAUCCAGGGGGCUGUUUGUUUUCUAACAGGCCCAGUAGCUGGAACCCUAUAGUGUAAUGUCUCCAGUCUGUUUAUAUUCCCGGUGCCACCAGCAGCUGAUCUCCUGCUGCUAUCCGAGACCGCAGGACAUUGCUUCCAGAGACAUCCGGCAAGACGAGGAAUGGAAAUGGACAGUCUGAUCGUGCUUCUGCCACUUAGGCUAUAUUUGUUCAGAAGCAAAGAUGACUGAGCUGCUUUAGCAAUUGUUGAAACCUUGCUUGGCAUCCCGCUUUCCUUGUCUGUGACCGUGCUAACCGUUCAGGAAUGCUAUUACAACCAGCAGGGCUGUCUCUGAGAUGUCUCAUUUUACAGAUUACACUCUCUUGUUUGAGCUUCCAGCGGUGUCAUGGGUGUCUGUGUGUAGGGCCUUGGCUACAGAGGAAAAUAUUCUUCUCUUGUUCCAGCAGAUGGGUUUUGGUUUGUGUUUUGGUGGGAGUGUUGCCCAUUGAGCCGUGUGGUAAAAUCUCUCCACCCCCAGCCAAAAUCACCAACCCCUAUUGAUCUGCUCAGGGCUGGGAUUUCGUAUAGGGAAUCAAAGUCCUGAGGCCUGUACAAUUAGUCUGCCACCACCUCUGCUGCCUUGUGCGUGUUUCCUCUGCUCACAAAAAGUGCCUUAUUGACCUGUCCUCUUCAAACCCACGAGGAUACUCUGUGGGCCAGGCAAGCAGAACCAGUCCCUGAGCGCGUAAAAGAUGCCACAGAACAACAUUUAGGCUAAAUGUCCUCAAGGAUAUUUGAUUUCAUGUGUUCUCCUUUGAGUCAGCACAUAUUUUAAUCAUCGGGAUGGCUGCGCUGAUUGAUUGUUUGGCUGAUUCCCCUGGCUUCAACACCUAAAAAUAGACGUUCAGAAGUUACAUAAUCCUGGGGCUGAGGCAGCUCUCCGAGUUUUCUUUGGAAACCACAAGCCCAAGUCGGGGCUUGCUGCUCUGUGGAAGAGCAGAGCCCAUCCUCUGAGAGCUGGCAGUGGUGUCCCAGACUUGAUUUUUAAUGAGAGAGGUUUGGUUCAGCUCUUUCCAGCGAUGUGAUCGGAUGGCUCUUGCUGGUGUUACCGGCUCAGUUCUGUCAGGUUUGCAGGAACGUGGCAGCAUCCGUGCCUCUCAUCCAUUUCGCAGGCACUGAAUUGACUUAUUUGGGAAUAAAAAAAAAUGAAGGAGUAAAAAAAUGAAGGAUAAAGUGAGUAAGAAGGAUUCCUUCCCAGGGAAGGGUAAGUAAUGCCCAAAACAGACACUCGCAGCUGGCAAGCAAUGGCACUGCUUGCUAUGAUGUGAGGAGGACAAACUGUUGUGUGUGGAUCUGUCCUUGGUAAUAUUAGUUGAGAGGAAGUUUCUGCGAGACUCCUGGUGUUAGCACUGCUUCCAAAAGUCAACAGAAGGAGAAGGGAAGAGAGCUGGAAAGGGGCUAAAGAGGGAAGAACCUGGGAAGGGAAAGAAGGAUGGUAAGAAAAAGUCUUUGUAGCUAGCUACAGAAGGACGUGAAGGCAACAGGGGAGUGCCACCAAAGCUGCAAGAGAAAUCACCAGUGGGAAGGGAUACUCUUCUUCCCCCCUCCUUUUUUUUAGAUCAGAAGGAUGGCAGGAGCAUGAGGCAAACUGUUAUUUACGUAGAGGGGAAGAGAUACAUAUGAGGACAUCUGUUUGAAGGAGCUGCUUCAAAAAUAACCACAGUGUCUGAAGAGCGCAGCUAGCAACCUACAGAGGAAGCACGACAGUGGUGCCCCGAGUGCAGACAGCCCCAUAUCCAGUGAAUAUCCUAAAUAUAAGACAAAGGGAUGCAGAUUUGGGUACUAUUCCUCAAAACAAGCCCCUUCUCACUUGGAAAAAUGAAAUAGCAGAGGUUUUGAAGCAGGACGCUCAAAUCUAGCAUCCUGUUCUCGUACUGAGUGCUGCGGCCAGGAACAGGCAGCACCUUCAGGCCUCUGGGCUCUUCAAACCUGGCCUCUGAUUUACUGGGGUGCUGUAAGAAAGUCCACUAAAGCCUGCUUGUUGUCUCAGCCUCCCAGUGGGUAAAACAGAGGUACAAAGCACAGCUUUUCUGCUCCUUCUCUCCCUUGUAACGUCCACAGCUUCAGACAGCUCUGAAAGGGCUGCGGAGUAGGAUUCAAUGCAAAUAUCAGGUGGGAUCCAUCGGUGGAAAGAGAGGGGCAAAGCCUGAUGGCACGAAGCAGGGGCAUGGUUUAUUUCUGCUGUUAGUCAGGGGUAAGGUCACGUUUGGUUAAGGCUGCAUGCAAGAUGAGCAUAAUUUGCUCGUUGGGAGAUUCAGCUUCUCCGUGGCCAAACGCUCCUAGGACAGAACUGGCAAAAUCUUCAUGAUGAAUCUGCAUCCCUAUCGACUUGCCAGUUUCUGGUGGGAGAAUCAAUGGCAAAUAGCACUCCGAAGUAGCGGCCAGAUGUGUUGUUCUCCCUUGCUUUUUCAGCUGUCCGCUGCAGGUAAUAGAAACAUGAUGCAAAGAGAAGUGAGAGUCUGAGAUGUAGUAGCUGAUACCACCCUGGUAGGAAACAGCUGUAUUUCUUUUUCCAUGCGAGUGGCUGUCAGCAAGUUGCACUGCCUGAGCUGACUUCGGAUAUCCUCUGCCUCAAGGGAAGCAUUGUCCUCCACGCUCUCUCCAGUGCUGUGUUUUCCGAUAAAGAACAACCGUGUACCCUGAAAUUAGUUAACGCUGCAGCAACUGCUCGCAAUGAAACCUCGCUUUCAGUUACAAAAGUUCUCAAUCAUGGCAGAAAGUAGCCAGUUUCACAGAAUUAUUGUGUGUUUACCUGGCUCUGCUGGGCAUAGCCAUGACUGGACUUCGGCCGUGUUUUGUGGCCGAGUACAAAUUGCACUGCAGUUUCAAGGGUAUGAAAGCCAGGAACGGGAUGUGCUUUGGACAAAACUUGAUAUUUCAAAAGAAUUCAGCAGCAGUCAGAAUAGCUCGGGGGAAGAUGUAGCAACAGGGAAUGUAAUGCCAUGCUCUGUUACUCCAUGGGUUGACAAAUAUAGAUGGAAAUCAAUUGCUUGUUACUACGUAGGGAGGCAGUAUCUUUAAUCUCGGCUGUGGUAAGUAAAGCGCUUGCAUCUGGAGCUGGGUAAACAGACACCCGGCUUUAUGCUUUUGCUGAAGUUCAGUUGACAUCAAAAGUGAUGGCCAUUUCAUGGUCAGGAUGCUCAGGUUGUCCCACCAGAUGCCAAGCAAAUUUCAUAUGAGGCCCCCCAGAACUUGCAUCCCACUGCUUUCAAGUGGACGUGGGCUUCUAAGCACGGAGAUUUUUGAAGUGGGAACUCUGGCAACUCUUCCCUUGGAUGUUUUACUUCCCUUUAUGUUUUACUGCUCUGAUGUUUCUUCAGGCCUUGCCAAGACUAAGCUGCUUCUACAAGUUUGUAACCAUAUUGAAAAUAUGAAACCGUUCACGCUCGAUGCAUUUGGUAGGUAACUGAUUUAUCCUAACUUGAACUAAGCAUACGGCUUCCUCCGUGUAGCUGUUUGGUUGCAUCCUCCUUGUUUCAGUCAUGACAACCAAUUUGGCUUACAACUCUUUCCCCUGGGUGAAGUGGGACCCGCGAGCAUUGCACCAUUCUGUUGGGCACAUCCUCUAGAAAUGUUGUUCUCUGCUAAGGGUCUACAGCAAACUGCCCCCGUUUUCUGGUACGGCUGCACGGGCAACAAGUCCAAGCUCCCAAGGACACAGAUAUAUUCUAAAAACAAAACAAAACAAACAAACACACAAAAACACACACAUACACACACAAAAACCACAAACAAAACAAAAACUACCCAUCUGAAUAAUCACUGUAAGCUAUUUCUGGUGUCUGUCACCCUAGGGGUGAAAAAGAUAACAUUGGCUGCAGACUUUUGGGGUUUUGCUUGUCUCAGUCGAGCAAAACCUGGCCUUGUGUUUGCCACAUAAACCCAAUACACCCGGUUACUUCUACCAGCAUUUCUCCUAACUUAGCUGCUGGCUCCUAUGCACUUGAGCUUGUUACCAAGACAUCCUACUCCAGCAGAGUCCUGCAGCAUUAAAAUUUGGGAAGAGUUAGGUAAAAUGUCUCUUUCUUCCCCUACAGAACACAUCUGUGAGCUUCCCCAUGGCAGGCAGACUUCAGCAUGCUGCACAUCAAUGCAAUUUACCACUAGAUGGCUGGACCUCCUCUUUGUCCAGCUCUGUUUUCUCAGACUGACAAUGCUUAGGGCAGAACAAUGGACUUCUUGUAAACUCUCUGCCCACCCCCUUUAUAACUCAACAUGUUUAAACAGCUUAUGCUUUUAGCAAAUUUAAUUUUAUGAUGAAUAGUUCAUUUUUAUUUUUUUUUUCAAACAUACCGAAAGAGCUGUGCUAAUUUCUGAGAAAGCGAUGAAUGUUUCACAAGACGGAAAGUAAAAAGAAAAAGCUCCCUUUUGCAGUUCUUUCUGCCUUCCAUUGCAGAUGUAAAACAACUUUAAUUGAGUCUCUUUAUUUCAGAGGUGCAUGCGGGAGUUUCACACAUUCGUUGGUUCAUCCCUCAGACUGGGAUAGAGCACAAUAAAGUCCCGAAAAGCCAUGGCAUAGCAGCCACAUAGCUUGCUCUGGUGAAUCUGAUAAGGUACAAAUUGCAAAACUUUUAGAAAUUUGGCAUUUAUGGUCACUCUGAUUUUGCUCAGGAGGGCCAUUUCUAUCCCAAAUUAGCUUUCCUUGUCCAAAUAAAAAUUAUUUUGCUCACAGACAGUCUCUUCCAAAAAGUUAUACUUCUGGGUAACAGAAAAAAAAAAAUCAGCUUCCCUGGUGACAGCAGACUGACACACUGCACUGAUGAGCAGGCCUACCUCAACAGGCAGAUGUUCUCUGCCGGAAAGGCAGAUAAAGAAAGAAAGAUAAAUUAUGCAUCUGUUUCUUGAAGAUGUUACUUCUUUUUUUUUUUUUUUUUUUUUUCCCCUUAGUCUCUUUUUUUUUUUUUUCAUUUUCAGAUCCAUUCUUUGUAUUUACUGGGUCCACAUUCUGUGUUUGUAGAUAUAUCUGUAUCCUUGAGGUCAAAACAAUGGAGAAGCACGUUUUAAAACUAAGAUUACUUCGGUUGUUUUGCUGUCACAACACUAGCAUUUUUUGCUGACCAUUUGCUGGAGCAAGGAGCCACGCAGUCCCUGCCUCUAAGGCAGUAUAAUCUAACACAGCAAGCCUGGAAAUCGCAGGGCACUCUAGCAGUUACGUGAGAGGCUGAGGAUAUGCCGAAGAUGAGCUGAAAGGUGAGUGGCACAUGAAAUAGUAAGGUAGCAAUGGAAACAGAAGUACGCCUGGGGUAGGAUUUCUUCUCUUUCUCCAAAUAUUGGCUCAGGUGUCAGUCGCUCGCAGUGUAAUUUUCUUAAAGGACUAUGACAGCAAAAAAAAAAAAAAAAAAAAAAAAAAAAAGCUGAUGGUAUAAUUAGUGCAGUAGAGAGAAGCAGGAAAUUAAAAUGAACUCCACCCAUCCCAACUCUCAGUGUAACACAGGCACUGAAGCAUGCAGAAAACUACAAGCCUCUGAAAAAUAAGACUUCAAAAGCAAUUGUACAACCUGACAAGAGUAUUGGUGGCGCCUCUGUUCUCCUCCACAGGAUGGUUUCUGGCUUUGUCAAUGUAACAGGAGGGAGUUAAAAAAACAGGCAUGGACAUUUCCACUUACUGGACUUGUAAAUGAGUGAAUUCUGUAUGUUCCUGAAGCAUCUUCAUUUUAAAGGUGUCUGAGGAGUCAUGUGUGCAGGUUAUUUAUGAAUUGUAACUUUGCAAUUGAGAAUAGCCCACAAACCAAGUCUGGACCCACCUUGCCCAGCUGGUGCUAUGAAAAGUGUGACAUUUGCGGUGGCAGGUGUCUUCGUGUUAUGUCUGAGAACUCAGAAGUGCUCAUGCUAAAGGUACAGGAAACUGCGGUGUCUUUGAACCUGCUAUGUGGUAACUGUUGUCAGAUGUGAACAGAGAAGCUGUGGAAGAAAAACUGGACACAAAAUCGUGAAGAAAUCACGUUAAACAUACCAGCCACCUUCCUUUGGGAUUAUCAGAUCACUUGCAGUACUCCUGUACCUUCCCAGCAAACAUUUAGAGGCCCUGGAUAUGCUCUGUCGUGUUUUCUGACAGGCAGGGACUGCAGCAAGGGUGGCAGCUCUUUUGCCACUGCUACUGCCAUAGCUGGGAUGAAGAAACGUGUCCCUGCCAGAGGCUGACUCACUCCGGCACCUUAUUUCCUGGGGGUUUUGGGUCUGUUCUCUGCCGUGAAGGCUCUGGCUCCGCAGUGACACAGAGGCCUUUCAUAAUACAGCAUCUCUACAGCCAUUUGAAUCAGGAAACAAUGGGAAAAGCAUUGCUUGAAUUCAAAAUAAGAGCUUGUUCUGUAGUCGGCUUUUCCCACUCCUUUCUCAGUGAGAUGAUUUAAGGCUCUGCCUGCACUGAGGGCUGAAUUCCUGACCGAGGCAACAAAGCAUCUACUUCAACAAGUUUUAGCUCAAGUACAGGCCAGCCCAAAGCUGAAAUCUUUUCUAAAAGCUGGGCUCUGGGGUGAACUGCUCUGCUAUCCUCCCCUCCCACCUCUCUGAGUGCAACUUGCAUUUAAAGCCUUCGACAACCAGAUUUGUGGUCCCUCAUCCUACCUCCUGCUCCCCCUCCCUCACCUUCUGAUGGGUUCACAGAUCUGCCUGCAAGGGGAUGCUGGGCUGGGUCCUGAGGGAUUGCUCGUCUGGACAGCUCUGAUCCCAGGCUCCCAGGUAAGAAAAAGAUCCACACGGGAAGAGGGAUGGGGAAGCUCAGCUGGCUUACGGCGGAGUAAAGGGAACCCUUGAAGAGAAAUACACACAAAGAUUACUUGAAAUGGUGGAUUUACAGAAAAUGUUAUCACCAUUAAAAACACACUCAGAGGAAAUCCUCACUCUCCUGAGUGCUGUUACGGAGUAAACACCAUAUGUUAAACCUCUGAGCUGUGAAGCGAGGGUGUCCUCUGCUAUUUGAUGAAGAAUGGCUGGGAGCAAUUCAGAGGGCCUUGGAAAACCUAAUGGACCUUAACCUAAGGAAAUGGUACAGUACUCCACCAUGGGAUAAACACCAGUUUCUUGUGGGAUCAGAAUAUCCAAAAGAAUGGCACUAGCACCUUCAGAUACACACACACAAAUGUCUCUGUUUGGGAACUGAACCGCUUCCAGAUCUGCAGAGUUUGUCCAGUGCUUUUAGCAAUACAAAGUUGAAAGGAUAUGUUACUGGAGUCUAAAUUUACAUCCCUAUUAGCUACAGUGGCCCCGUGGCACCAGGAGUGAAAGGGGAGGGGACUGCCCACAUGUGAAUUGUAGUCGCCACUAAUUUGGGACUGCAAACGUGAGUCUCUUUUGUAGAAUGGAGUAUAUGUUUUUACCUCAUUAAGUCCUGUCACCAUCCUGUGUACAAAAUGGUAAGAAGUAUGUGAUAGUUAAUGCUCUUUGGAGCCUGUUUGGAUAUAAAAGGCUGGUGCUUGCAACCACAUCUGCAGUCACCGCGUGUUAGCGAGCUGUGGACCAGGUACAUCAGACUGUUCCUGCCUCGACGGUGUACAGACAAGUCAGGGGAAUUACUGAGAAAGCUCUCUGUGAAAACCUCCAGAACAGGGGCUUGCUGAGGUGCUGCAUGACAGGAUCAGAUCAGCGCUUCAGGGUGCUUGCCCCGAGCAGCACAAUGGUGCUGCCUUCGACCACAAAGCGUGAGGGCGGAAGCCUGCCACCGCUCACACCUCUUCCUCUCACAAGCAGCAGAGGUAGCAGCUCCUGCCUCGAGGUGCCUGGCACAAAAAAAAAAAAAAAAAAGCAACAAACCAAAGCAAAAAAUAGAACCUCCCCCCACCCACUGCUUUUUCUUGCGAGAAAGCGAUAGCAGGGUGCCUUAUUCCUUAGUGUUUGAAAGUGGUAUUUCUGGCACUAAUGGUCUGCGUAUCUCAUUUUGCACAUCCAAAGGAACUUCUGAGGCUGUGUCUUCGUGUCUACCUGCUCAGAGUGCUGCCAGACUUGUCUGGGCUCAUCUUGAGCAAACCAACUUGCAGGAGGCAAGCAGUAGGGCUUGGCUGAGUAGCUCUUGUGACUGUUAUUGCUGAUCCUUGGUGGUUCUCUUUAAGUAAUUUGCAUCCUAGUUAGUGGCUCCGAUCAUCUUUCUUCGAAAACCUGCCAAAUCCUGGUGGGAACUGCAGUGAAUAGAAGUUGUGGUUUCUUUAUCCAGGCACUUUUACUGUAAGAACAAAAGAGGUAAUAGAUCCUUACACCAAAAGUACAGCAUUUGAACAAAGACAAUUAAGGCUCAGCUACACGUAGUCUUGAGGAAGUAAAAUGAGACGUAAUGCAAGUGGUUAUUGUUUACUACUCGGUGCACCCAGAUUCUGGCCUCUCUCUCUGUAGAUGUAUAGGCAUGCUUAAUGCUUUGUGACUCAUCCUACCAACAAUGCUGGUGUUAUCAAAUUCUAAUGGCACUGGGUUGGUGGUGCGAGAGGAUAUUAUUCAGUACUCACAGGCUAAGUUUCGGGCAGAAAAAGCAACUCAGUGCUCACCAGAAAGCCACUAAACAGUGUUAUCCAGAAUGCUAAUUAGUUUGUACUUGCACUUGUGAAUGAGUUGAAACAGAUCUGUGUUAUUCUUGUGGGAAGCUGAAGUCAGGUUCACAGCUGGGACUGGGCAUGUAAAUCCACUGAAGCCAACACAACUUGUGUCAACACCUGAGUACAGUCCUAUGAAAUGCUUAUCUCAAAACUACUUUUAUUCCUAAAAAACACUCACUCGUUAGAGGACACUCAUUUCCUAAGCAGAAAACAAGGGGGUUUCAUGCUUGCAAGAGUACCAAAUGAACACAAAAGGCAUCGCAAGCUAGUAGGGUAACUAGAUGGAAAAGUAUCCUGUGGUAGGUAAUACCUCUGACUCCAUAAAUCUUGUAUGUCAGAAAGCUCUAUGGCUUCCCAAUGGAAAAAUAUUGCUAUUGUACGAAUUUUAACCAAAAUGAAGUGUCCGGGAAAUAACUAGACUUAGAGACACAGACAUUGAGCUUUUCUUAGACCACAACUCUUUAUCUCACUAAAUGUGGCACGUGGUGAGAUUAGUAAUGUGAUAACUCACAGAACCACCAUCUUCAAUACACUGCUUAGCCAUUUUUCAUCUCAAGUCACUCUGACUUGCAUUUCUUUUUCCCUGGAAAACGUCUAAGAACUCAUAGAUCAAAACCCAGGGGCUGACACAAAGACAGAGGUGCUGGAUCUAAGAAAUGACUGAAUUGAGGGAUUGGGAUGAGAGCUCUUUACUCGGUGUGAAGCAAGAAUUUCGGAGUCUGCAAAUACACCCCUUUUAAGAUAUGGAUAUAUCAAACUUCCUGCACUUGCUAGCAUCAGACUUGGUCAGCCUUUGGUCAGAACUCUGUUGAUGCUUAGAUCUUAGAGACUGGAAGUAGAUUUAAUCAUUCAGAUAGGACUUUUUUUCCGGAGCAAGCAGUGAAUCAAAACGUUGCCUAGUGUUGUGAAGCAUUGGGCUACUAGAAGCAUGGCUUUGUCCCUGAAACACUCUCCCUUAGCACUCCAGUGACUAGGCAGAUGGAUUAUAAAGUAACGGAAUUUGAAUGACUGUCUCAUCCCGCUGCAGGGAAAGGUAAUGUUAUCUCCUCACUCCUGCAUAGUAUUGCCUCCGGCUUUUGCACCAAGACAUCACGCUGGAACUCAGUGUUGUCUAGUAACUAACACCGAAUUUAAAGUGCUGUCACAGCCAGUCCUGCUCAGUUUCCAGACGCAGGUCGCCAAAGCAUGUAAGAAGUGAUCCACAAGUGAUGGCACAAAGCCAACGGAUUUUUAUUUAUUUAUUUAUUUAUUUAUUUAUUUUUUAUUCCUGUUUGUUUAGGACAGGAGACAAAAUGUGUUUGUAAACCAGAGAGGCUGCUGCAGGUGCAGAGGACUCUGUUCCAGCUGGCACUCUGAAAGAUCAAUUACCUACAUCAAAGCUGUUCUGCUGCCUUUGCUGUCUGGUUGCUCAUUUCUGAGGCUGCACAGGAACCGUACACACAAAGUGAAUUAAAAAGACCAGGGCUCUGUGUUCAAUACCCUCUUGAAGUGUGCAGUCUAACCAUUAACACUAGAAGUCCUAAAUUCUUCUUAAUCUGAUCAGAUGGUGAGAAAAUAUGAAAAGCUUUUGACUUUGAAAUGACACUUGGCAAUGAUGAUACUAUUCUCGAUUGAAAAUGCAAAUGAAGGCAUGUAAUGCGAUGCUAUAAUUGACGUAGGUUGCAUUUCUUUUUAAGCUGUUGAUCAGGAGUGAAUGGUUUGACAGGUAAACCAUCAGAGAUUGUUAUUGAAUUUAUUGUAAUAAAUAUUAUUCCGCAAUAUUUUCCUGUUGCCUGUGAAGCAUUAAAAUGCUAAAGGGUGCCAACAUGUGGUGUUAGCAGGGUGUUGUGACAGCAGCAUUAUCAAUGUUUGUACAGGUUGUCACCAAUAUUUGAAAUCACUUGUAAAAACAGCACCUCAAUAUAAUAUUCUAUUACCAUACUGUACAUGGUGAUAGGCUUUUAUUCGUUGGUACAGAACCUAUGUAUUACUGAUUAUCCAUCCUUUCCUGCUCUCUUCCCAGGAGUGGUCUUGCAAAGACACAAAGUUAACAAUAACAAGAUACACAGGGUUAUUGAUCAUAAGGUAACCUAUCCCAUCACAGUUAAAAUGUAUAGACCCAUGCCCAAGGCCCCCAAACCAGCUCGAGGUGAUGCUGAACCGAAGCCUGCCUCCCGUACUUCUCACAAUAUCCUACUUCUGAAGCACGUUGUCUUGCAGCCUCAUCGAGGCGGGAGACCUAAUUCGUCAUUACAAAGAAGCCUUCCAUCUUUUCAAGUAAAAGCAUCGCACUUAUCGCAGGGCCAGGAAGCUGAAGGCUGGCAGCGCUGAAGCGACGAUACCCUUCAGCCAAAAAAAGCAUUGUUCAGUGGCUAAUGUUAUAUGUUACGUGGCUAACACCGGACUGGGUGUGCUCUGAAUUGCACGAAGCGUAUGAACGCAUCUAAGCGACACGAGGCUGCGGUGGUUACAUUAAAUAUAAACGUGUUAAAUGUAAACGUGUUAAAUGUAAAUACGUUGAGUAUGUUAAGUAGGAAUGUGUUAAAUAUAAAUACGUUAAACAUGAA